GACGUAGGAGGCGAGCGUUGUCCGGAUUCAUUGGGCGUAAAGAGCACGCAGGCGGUUUGGCAAGUCGGAUGUGAAAACCCGGGGCUCAACCCCGGGCCUGCAUUCGAUACGGGCAGACUAGAGUUCGGUAGGGGAGUCUGGAAUUCCUGGUGUAGCGGUGAAAUGCGCAGAUAUCAGGAGGAACACCGGUGGCGAAGGCGGGACUCUGGGCCGAUACUGACGCUGAGGAGCGAAAGCGUGGGGAGCGAACAGG
rnacentral:rRNA from 1 species